UUCGCCGGUCAUAGGGUCUUGGAAACGCCCGAUCCCAUUCCGAACUCGGAAGCUAAGCAGGACCACGUCCCGUUUCCCUGUGGUGCGAGAGCCUACGAGGGCCCGGGAUUCUGGCGAGC
rnacentral:rRNA from 1 species